rnacentral:RNase_P_RNA from 1 species
AAAGUCCGCCGGGCAACCGCGUCUUCGUUCGCGAAGCCGAGGAAAGUCCGGACUCCGCAGAGCGACGUAGCAGGUAACGCCUGCCCACCGCGAGGUGAGGAUCAGAGCAACAGAGACGAGCCGAUUCAGUUCGGGUGAAACGGGCAAUCUCUACGCGGAGCAACACCAAAUAGGCGGCCGGCGAUCCUGCUCGGGGAGGCCGCGGGUAGGUGGCUUGAGCCGGCGGGUGACCGCCGGCCGAGAGGAAUGGUUGCCACGGUGUUCGCAAGGACGCCGAACAGAAUCCGGCUUACAGGCGGACUUUGCAC